rnacentral:rRNA from 1 species
CCUACGGGGGGCUGCAGUGAGGAAUAUUGGUCAAUGGGCGAGAGCCUGAACCAGCCAAGUCGCGUGAAGGAUGACGGCCCUACGGGUUGUAAACUUCUUUUGUCAGGGAGCAAUUGAGUCCACGUGUGGUCUUAGCGAGAGUACCUGAAGAAAAAGCAUCGGCUAACUCCGUGCCAGCAGCCGCGGUAAUACGGAGGAUGCGAGCGUUAUCCGGAUUUAUUGGGUUUAAAGGGUGCGUAGGCGGAAUAUCAAGUCAGCGGUAAAAAUUCGGGGCUCAACCCCGUCGUGCCGUUGAAACUGAUGUUCUUGAGUGGGCGAGAAGUAUGCGGAAUGCGUGGUGUAGCGGUGAAAUGCAUAGAUAUCACGAGGAACCCCGAUUGCGAAGGCAGCCUGCCGGGGUGCGACUGACGCUGAGGCUCGAAGGUGCGGGUAUCAAACAGGAUUAGAUACCCUGGUAGUC